CUUCGGCAGUUGGACACGUGUUUGCGUUGGAUUCUCUUCAAAUCAUCUAAAACAAAAAACAGUCCCACCUCUUCUUGAAGACAUUUAGCCUCCUGCUAUCGACUUCAGGUUCACAUUAGGGAACAGCAGAGGUCUAAGUGCAAACAGGCUCGUGAUGCACAGCAUGAAGUUAUACGUUGCCCACGAGCCAGAUGCA